rnacentral:snRNA from 1 species
GGGACUGAAAUUUACAUGAAGGU